rnacentral:rRNA from 1 species
GGAAGGGUUUGUUUCGGAGUUCUGGGCGUAAGGGUGUGUAGGCGGUCGUUUAAGUUUGGUGUGAAAUCUCCCGGCUCAACUGGGAGGGUGCGCCGAAUACUGAGCGGCUAGAGUGCGGGAGAGGAGAGUGGAAUUCCUGGUGUAGCGGUGAAAUGCGUAGAUAUCAGGAGGAACACCGGCGGUGUAGACGGCUCUCUGGACCGUAACUGACGCUGAGACACGAAAGCGUGGGUAGCAAACAGGAUUAGAUACCCUGGUAGUCCACGCCCUAAACGAUGCAUAUUUGGUGUGGGUCAUUCAGUUGAUCCGUGCCGGAGCUAACGCGUUAAAUAUGCCGCCUGGGGAGUACAGUCGCAAGGCUGAAACUCAAAGGAAUUGACGGGGGCCCGCACAAGCGGUGGAGCAUGUGGUUCAAUUCGACGCAACGCGAAGGACCUUACCUGGGCUCGAACGGCUGGUUAACGGAGGCGGAAACGCUUCUACCCCGCAAGGGGGUCCAGUCGAGGUGCUGCAUGGCUGUCGUCAGCUCGUGUCGUGAGAUGUUGGGUUAAGUCCCGCAACGAGCGCAACCCUUGUCCUGUGUUGCCAUGCCGAAAGGCGGAACUCGCAGGAGACCGCCAGCGAUAAGCUGGAGGAAGGUGGGGAUGACGUCAAGUCCUCAUGGCCUUUAUGUCCAGGGCUACACACGUGCUACAAUGGACGGUACAAAGCGUCCCGAACCCGCGAGGGGAAGGCAAUCGCAAAAAACCGUUCUCAGUUCGGAUUGCAGGCUGCAACUCGCCUGCAUGAAGCUGGAAUCGCUAGUAAUGGCAGAUCAGCACGCUGCCGUGAAUACGUUCCCGGGCCUUGUACACACCGCCCGUCACAUCACGAAAGUGGAUUGUACUAGAAGUCUGCAGCUGACCCGCAAGGGGGGCAGCGGCCCAAGGUAUGAUCCAUGAUUGGGGUGAAGUCGUAACAAGGUAAC